UGUGCGACACUGGUCAGAGAUUACACAAUCAUUGAGCUAAUCCUUGGCCAGAAUCCUUGCC
rnacentral:pre_miRNA from 1 species